ACUAGCCAUGUGAACUUGGGCAAGUGACCUAAUCCUCUGCAUUUCAUCUCUAAAUUGGGGAGAAUAGAAGCAUCUACUUCAUGUAGUAGCCAGGAUUAGAAGAGAUGGGGCCACUUGAGGGAAAAGACCUACCCAAGGGCACAUAAUCUGUACAUGAGAGAGAGCCAGAUGUAACAGACUGAGUACUGGACUUGGGGUUAAACAGACUGUGAAUCUUUCCACCCCAUUGGGAGGAAUAACUGGGCCCUGGAUAGAAUGUGAUGAAUGUAUAUUCUUAAUGAGAAGUGGAAAUAAUUUGUGGUUGAGAGCUGUGCCUCAGAUCAGAGUGACAGGAUACAUGGCUAGGCUAUAUUUUCCAGCAGAUUAAGAGCUGCGGCCCAAGACUCUGAAAUAUGAAGAAAAAAGGAGAAGAUGACAGCAUAUCUUUUUAAAGAAAUAUUUUCCAGCCAAAUGGUGUAGCAGAGGACUUCCAGGAAUUUGUUCUUGUUCUGUAUCAAAGGUGAAGAGUUCGUAGCCUUCAAGGAAACAAGAAACCAUGGGAUGGAGUGAAGGAAGGUGGCCUGGAACCAGCUGCUGAGCCUCUCUGAGCCCCAGUUUCCUCGUCUCUAAAAUGGGGCUGAUCUCCUCUCCCUCAGACUGUUGUUGCAGGAAUUAAAACAGGUGUUGAGUGGGAAA
rnacentral:lncRNA from 1 species